rnacentral:rRNA from 1 species
ACACCGGCAGCUCAAGUGGUAGCCGCUUUUAUUGGGCCUAAAGCGUCCGUAGCCGGUCUGAUAAGUCUCUGGUGAAAUCCCGCAGCUUAACUGUGGGAAUUGCUGGAGAUACUAUCAUGACUCGAGGUCGGGAGAGGCUGGAGGUACUCCCAGGGUAGGGGUGAAAUCCUGUAAUCCUGGGAGGACCACCUGUGGCGAAGGCGUCCAGCUGGAACGAACCUGACGGUGAGGGACGAAAGCCAGGGGCGCGAACCGGAUUAGAUACCCGGGUAGUCCUGGCCGUAAACGAUGUGGACUUGGUGUUGGGAUGGCUCCGAGCUGCCCCAGUGCCGAAGGGAAGCUGUUAAGUCCACCGCCUGGGAAGUACGGUCGCAAGACUGAAACUUAAAGGAAUUGACGGGG